UCCAUCGCGAGGUGGAAUCUGAAGGAAGCCGCAGGCAAGACCCUGGCUCGACGAACAGAAAUCGCAUGUGAGGCGGUCGCGCCGGAGGAGAAGGCAAAUAUCUUCAUUGGUGAUUGGGAAAGGCGGGGAAUCGGGGUGAAACGCACAGCCCC
rnacentral:ncRNA from 1 species